rnacentral:rRNA from 1 species
GAUGAACGCUGGCGGCGUGCCUAAUACAUGCAAGUCGAGCGAACAGACGAGGAGCUUGCUCCUCUGACGUUAGCGGCGGACGGGUGAGUAACACGUGGAUAACCUACCUAUAAGACUGGGAUAACUUCGGGAAACCGGAGCUAAUACCGGAUAAUAUAUUGAACCGCAUGGUUCAAUAGUGAAAUACGGUUUUGCUGUCACUUAUAGAUGGAUCCGCGCCGCAUUAGCUAGUUGGUAAGGUAACGGCUUACCAAGGCAACGAUGCGUAGCCGACCUGAGAGGGUGAUCGGACACACUGGAAGUGAGACACGGUCCAGACUCCUACGGGAGGCAGCAGUAGGGAAUAGUCCGCAAAGGGCGAAAGCUUGACGGAGCAACGCCGCGUGAGUGAUGAAGGUCUUCGGAUCGUAAAACUCUGUUAUUAGGGAAGAAAAAAUGUGUAAGUAACUAUGCACGUAUUGACGGUACCUAAUCAGAAAGCCACGGCUAACUACGUG